rnacentral:tRNA from 1 species
AGGGGUAUAGCUCAAUGACAGAGCGCAUCCGCAUGGAUGAGGUGCAGGUUCAAGUCCUGCUGCCCUAUCUA